rnacentral:tRNA from 1 species
GCGGGAAUAGCUCAGUGGUAGAGCACAACCUUGCCAAGGUUGGGGUCGCGGGUUCGAGUCCCGUUUCCCGCU